GACGAACGCUGGCGGCGUGCUUAACACAUGCAAGUCGAACGGAAAGGCCCUGCUUUUGUGGGGUGCUCGAGUGGCGAACGGGUGAGUAACACGUGAGUAACCUGCCCUUGACUUUGGGAUAACUUCAGGAAACUGGGGCUAAUACCGGAUAGGAGCUCCUGCUGCAUGGUGGGGGUUGGAAAGUUUCGGCGGUUGGGGAUGGACUCGCGGCUUAUCAGCUUGUUGGUGGGGUAGUGGCUUACCAAGGCUUUGACGGGUAGCCGGCCUGAGAGGGUGACCGGCCACCUUGGGCCUGCGAUACGGCCCAGACUCCUACGGGAGGCAGCAGUGGGGAAUAUUGUACAAUGGGCGGAAGCCUGAUGCAGCAACGCCGCGUGCGGGAUGACGGCCUUCGGGUUGUAAACCGCUUUCGCCUGUGACGAAGCGUGAGUGACGGUAAUGGGUAAAGAAGCACCGGCUAACUACGUG
rnacentral:rRNA from 1 species